UACCAAUGUGUUUCGAUAAAAUAUUAUUUAAAUUAAUUACUGUAAAAUAUUUUUGUAUGUGUGAUGUGUGUGUGAAAUAAAAAAAUUUAAUAAGAAAAAAAAUUGAUUAAAAAUUAUGUUUGUAACACAAGUAAAGUAAUAUUUGACAUAAUUUUACGCCCUCAUAAGUAAACAGUUUGCCUCUUUUUUUUUUCUUUUAGGUUAAGCUGAUUUGAUGAGAGCGAAACAGCAAUCAUGUGCUUUUUCUCUUCUUCUUGGAAAGGUUUCCUUAGACUCAAAGCUCUUGCUGCUGCUUUUACAGUCCAUGCUUUGACGUGCACAGUCAGCGACAACAAAAGGAGACUUUGGACGAGAUAACCAGCAGGGUUUGGUCUUUCUCCUAAUGGAACUGAUUCUUGAUCCAAUCAAGGCCUUUAAUUUUCUCUUCAAGGAAAGGUGAUUCAUGAGCAAGCGCAAAAUUUCAUGUACGGUCGAAUGAGCAGAAUAAAAAGAUAUAUUGAUGACAGGAAGAAAGGUCGAGAAGUCUUUAGUUGUUGAUAAGAUCUUCAGUUAUUGGAUGUCCAGCUGGGAACUCAAUUGAAUCUCUUUAAUGAUACCGUCUUGAUUUCAA